rnacentral:lncRNA from 10 species
GUGUGCACACAUCCUAGAUGCAUAUCUGUGCAUAGGCACACACAGGUCUGCACAUACGUGUGUGCAUGUGUACGCACUAGGCCCUGGAGUUUGGGCCACUGACUUCUGCCUCUGAGGCUCGGGACGGCAGCAGCUUCUCCCCCAUCACACAGGCCGACUCCAGAUCUCCAUUCUCCUCCCAGAUCUUUUUUUUUUUUUUUGGAUCACAGGUGGGCAGGAUGGUGGCCUCACCUGAUGCAGUGCACACCUCCAACAGGCAUCAGAUGGAAUGCACUGGGAGCAAGAUUCUCAUAGCAAUGACAAAGAUCCCCAACACCGUCCACCACGCAGCCCAUUUGCCUCUGGACGCGUGGCCUUGAGCCUGGCCCCUCGAGUUUAUCCCAGCGCUUGGUGACGAGACCCCACAUACUGCACAGGAGGACAGGCAGAGGGUCAGCCAGAGCGUGGGAUGUGGAAGUGCCACCUCCCUUUGCAGGCUGUGUGUCUUCGGGUAAGUAAUCAGCUUCUCUGAGCCCCCCUUCCAUCUCUGUCAAAUGUGGACGAAUGAUGCCUGCACUUUGUCCCCGUG